UCUAGUCCUUCAGAGAAGCACCCCACAUUGC
rnacentral:piRNA from 2 species